AUGUGGCUCCAUAUUAGGUGUGUUAAAGGGACAAACAUUACACACUUAUACAGUUAAAAUAUAUUUAAUAAUUAUUAUAAUUUUAUAAAAGUUUUUUCAAUUUCAAAAGUGCUAAAACUACUAUUUAACUAUACAUAUAAAACUAUGAGCUUUGUAUGCUACAAAGAGAUAAAAUCUUAUUCUAUUUUUUACAUGCAAACAAAGUGUAACAAGUAUGGCUGAAAUUACCAAGUUAUUUUAUAUUUGGAUUUUAUAUAUUUCCUUAAUUGUUGUCACAUCUCAUGUUAUUGGUAAAUCAUUUUUUCAUUCUUUUUAAAUUUUCUUCAUUACUUCAUAGUUCGUAAUAUUGUUUUACCGUCUCUUGUUAAUGCAGGAGAAUCUAUUAAAUUUCACCUUAAAUGUGCAAUUACUGACGAUUGUCCAAAUUUUAAGGGCAAAUUUGUAGCUAUUGAGUGUAUUGAUCACUUUUGUCAUAUUGUUUUCUAGGAAUAGUAGGUUAGGCUUAGGAGAAUACAAAAAUGCUUUACGGAGGAGAAUGAGCUAUAGUUAAAAAAAAAACAAAUAUGUAAUAUUAUACCUUAAUAAUUAUCAUUUAAUUAUUGUACAAACAUCUUAUAACCUUAUUUUUUUCUCCUAAAUUCAUGAACCUUAGAUUUAUGAUUUUAUAAUAAAAUAUGAUGAUAAGAUAUCAAAUAGUAUUAUCUUAUCUUAA
rnacentral:lncRNA from 1 species